CAGUCGCCGCGGGAAUACAGAGGGUGCGAGCGUCAAUCGGAUUUACUGGGCGUAAAGCGUGCGUAGGCGGCUUUUUAAGUCGGAUGUGAAAUCCCUGAGCUUAACUUAGGAAUUGCAUUCGAUACUGGGAAGCUAGAGUAUGGGAGAGGAUGGUAGAAUUCCAGGUGUAGCGGCGAAAUGCGUAGAGAUCUGGAGGAAUACCGAUGGCGAAGGCAGCCAUCUGGCCUAAUACUGACGCUGAGGUACGAAAGCAUGGGGAGCAAACAGGAUUAGAUACCCGUGUAGUCCCUGUCUCUUAUAC
rnacentral:rRNA from 1 species